GUAGGAGAUGGACAACUGGCAGAUAUUCCAGUACCGGUAAUGAUUGUUUGAGCGAUGGAGUGACACAGGAGGGCAGGCAGGCAGGAGAUUGGUUGUUCCUGUACAAGCGUGUAAGAUGGGACGCAGGCAAAUCCGCGUCCUGUGAGUCUGAGGCGUGAUGUGGAGGUUCCGGAAACGGAACUGAAGCUGCUGACCCCACACUGUCGAGAAAAGCUUCUAGUUAGAGAAUUACCGCCCGUACCGUAAACCGACACAGGUAUGCGGGGAGAGAAUCCUAAGGUGCGCGGGAGAACCCUCGUUAAGGAACUCGGCAAAAUGUACCCGUAACUUCGGGAUAAGGGUAGCCGCUGUUGUGAAGUCUGAACAGACGGAGCAUGAGGCGGUCGCAGAGAAGAGGCCCAAGCGACUGUUUACCACAAACACAGGUGCCUGCUAAAGAGAAAUCUGACGUAUGGGUGCUGACACCUGCCCAGUGCCGGAAGGUUAAGGAAGGAUGUCCGGAGCAAUCCAAAGCAUUCGACCGAAGCCCCGGUGAACGGCGGCCGUAACGAUAACGGUCCUAAGGUAGCGAAAUUCCUUGUCGGGUAAGUUCCGACCCGCACGAAAGGUGUAACGAUUUGGGCACUGUCUCAACGAGGGACCCGGUGAAAUUGAAGUACCUGUGAAGAUGCAGGUUACCCGCGACUGGACAGAAAGACCCCAUGGAGCUUUACUGUAACCUGACAUUGGGUUCUGAUACAUCACGUACAGGAUAGGUGGGAGGCAUGGAAGCGAGGACGCUAGUCUUCGUGGAGCCGCCGUUGGGAUACCACCCUUGAUGUAUCGGAAUUCUAACCGUAGGAGUAACGAAACUCGGGACGGUGUCAGGCGGGCAGUUUGACUGGGGCGGUCGCCUCCCAAAGAGUAACGGAGGCGCCCAAAGGUUCCCUCAGCGCGGCCGGAAAUCGCGCGAAGAGUGUAAAGGCAGAAGGGAGCUUGACUGAGAGCCAAACACGGCAAUCAGGUACGAAAGUAGGGCUUAGUGAUCCGGUGGCAUCCAAGUGGAAGGGCCAUCGCUCAACGGAUAAAAGCUACCCUGGGGAUAACAGGCUAAUCUCUCCCAAGAGUCCAUAUCGACGGGGAGGUUUGGCACCUCGAUGUCGGCUCAUCACAUCCUGGGGCUGAAGUCGGUCCCAAGGGUUGGGCUGUUCGCCCAUUAAAGUGGUACGUGAGCUGGGUUCAGAACGUCGUGAGACAGUUCGGUCCCUAUCCAUCGCGGGCGCAAGAGAUUUGAAGGGGGCUGCUCCUAGUACGAGAGGACCGGAGUGGACGAACCAAUGGUGUACCAAUUAUCUCGCCAGAGGUAUAGUUGGGUAGCUACGUUCGGAAAGGAUAAACGCUGAAAGCAUCUAAGCGUGAAACCAGCCUUAAGAUGAA
rnacentral:rRNA from 1 species